rnacentral:rRNA from 1 species
GAUGAACGCUAGCGAUAGGCUUAACACAUGCAAGUCGAGGGGCAGCAUAUUCGAAGCUUGCUUUGAAUGAUGGCGACCGGCGCACGGGUGCGUAACGCGUAUGCAAUCUACCAUAUACUGGAGAAUAACCUUUUGAAAGAGAGACUAAUACUCCAUAGUAUUACUUUAAGGCAUCUUUUAGUAUUUAAAGAUUUAUUGGUAUAUGAUGAGCAUGCGUGCCAUUAGUUUGUUGGUGAGGUAACUGCUCACCAAGGCUACGAUGGCUAGGGGUUCUGAGAGGAAGGCCCCCCACACUGGUACUGAGACACGGACCAG